UUUUACUGUUAGGGGUAAAGAAGCCCACGGAGUGAUUUAAUGAAUCUACGAGGAGAAAACUUGUAAACACUUGGCCAGUAUAAGUCUUCCUGUAUGAGAACACAACACACUGCUGGGGCCACAGAAAUGUUGGCUGAUGAGACGCUCAUGAUUCAUGAAAUGGGUCAAAUGCAGAUGACAAAGAAAAGUCAACAGCAGGAGGUGCUGACCCAGACUUCUGCCUCUGUUUAGGUUUUCACUCUGCAGACAGAAAUUUCAACCAGUCAGACUUAAGGCCCAUUCUGCUCUUCCUCCUCCAGAAAACGAGAGAUAUGUCAGACUGAAUGAUCCAAGUACACUGGGUCAUGUCUCCACUGUCCAUGUCCAGACUCACAGAGGAGGAGGAGGAGGUCCAGACUGUAGACCUGUGGGGCCUCUGGUUGCAUCAGGCCUUCCUCCUGCACAUUCUGUUUGCUGCUGUUCCUAAUGUGUCCUAAUAGAGAUGUGUCCAUAAAGAUUAGGUUUAACGUUUUAUUUCCUCCAGAAGUGAAACAGUAAAAUGGUGGUUUCUGUUCGUCUUAGCUGAAGAGCACCUAAACAGCUUUAUCACUGAGGAAGUGUCCCAUGAUAAAUGUGGCCUUAUAUGAUCUUAACAAGUGUAUGAGACAAAACUAGUCAUAUAAGUUGCUCAUAAUAAGUUUUUCUGAAUGUUUUUCAGUCUGUACUGAUGUUUGAUUCAUGAUGAAAUGUGCUAUUUACUUUCUGUCUCUUUUGAAAGUAACUAAUUACAUGUACUAUAAGAAUGUACUAUUGUACUGCAGUUAAGCAGUGGUAUUCCACCUGAUCAUAUUUUGGAAUUUUUUUUUUCUGCUUCAGCAAAAUGGGAACAACUCUUUGAGAGUACACUGACAUACAGCUAUUUGUACUCACCUAUUAAUGCAGAGUGUGUUUGUGUAAUGGGUUUAAUGUUUGACUAGUCACAUUAUGAUAAAGUAUUUAUAAUCCUUUGAUUGUUUAAUAAACCAUCUUUUCUCAAA